rnacentral:rRNA from 1 species
AGUGAACGCUGGCGGUAGGCCUAACACAUGCAAGUCGAACGGCAGCACAGUAAGAGCUUGCUCUUACGGGUGGCGAGUGGCGGACGGGUGAGGAAUACAUCGGAAUCUACUUUUUCGUGGGGGAUAACGUAGGGAAACUUACGCUAAUACCGCAUACGACCUACGGGUGAAAGCAGGGGAUCUUCGGACCUUGCGCGAUUGAAUGAGCCGAUGUCGGAUUAGCUAGUUGGCGGGGUAAAGGCCCACCAAGGCGACGAUCCGUAGCUGGUCUGAGAGGAUGAUCAGCCACACUGGAACUGAGACACGGUCCAGACUCCUACGGGAGGCAGCAGUGGGGAAGAGUGGACGAUGGGCGCAAGCCUGAUCCAGCCAUACCGCGGUGGUGAAGAAGGCCGUCGGGUUGGAAAGCCCUUUUGUUGGGAAAGAAAAGCAGCAGGUUAAGACCCCGCUGUUCUGACGGUACCCAAAGAAUAAGCACCGGCUAACUUCGUG